AGAGCGAACGCUGGCGGCAGGCCUAACACAUGCAAGUCGAACGGACUCUUCGGAGUUAGUGGCGGACGGGUGAGUAACACGUGGGAACGUGCCUUUAGGUUCGGAAUAGCUCCUGGAAACGGGUGGUAGUACCGAAUGUGCCCCUCGGGGGAAAGAUUUAUCGCCUUUAGAGCGGCCCGCGUCUGAUUAGCUUGUUGGUGAGGUAAUGGCUCACCAAGGCUACGAUCAGUAGCUGGUCUGAGAGGAUGACCAGCCACAUUGGGACUGAGACACGGCCCAAACUCCUACGGGAGCAGCGAGUGGGAAUCUGCGCAAUGGGCGAAAGCCUGACGCAGCCAUGCCGCGUGUAUGAUGGAAGGUCGUUAGGAUUAGUAAAUACUUUACGACCGGUGAACGAGAAUAGACUGUAG
rnacentral:rRNA from 1 species